rnacentral:rRNA from 1 species
GACAAACGCUGGCGGCACACAUAAGACAUGCAAGUCGAACGGAAAUAUAUUUUUGUUUACAAAGAUAUAUUUUAGUGGCGGACGGGUGAGUAACGCGUGGGUAACCUGCCUUCAAGAGGGGAAUAGCACAGAGAAAUUUGUGAUAAUACCGCAUAACAUUGCACUGCUGCAUGGCAGAGCAAUCAAAGGAGUAAUCCGCUUGAAGAUGGACCCGCGUCUGAUUAGCUAGUUGGAGUGGUAAUGGCACACCAAGGCGACGAUCAGUAGCCGAACUGAGAGGUUGAUCGGCCACAUUGGGACUGAGACACGGCCCAGACUCCUACGGGAGGCAGCAGUCGGGGAUAUUGCACAAUGGGGGAAACCCUGAUGCAGUGAUGCCGCGUAUAGGAAGAAGGUUUUCGGAUUGUAAACUAUUGUCGACAGGGAAGAUGAAAAGACGGUACCUGUGGAGGAAGCCCCGGCUAACUACGUGCCAGCCGCCGCGGUAAGAC